UUCAUAUCCUAACUCUACCAUUUAUUAACCUUAUUAUAGGUUAGCUUUCCCACCAAGCAGACACUGAGACCGGCUUUAAGCACAACAACUUCUGUGAAAAGUGAGACAGGUCAUGGAAGGAAACCGAUGUAAGAUCUUCCCGACCCAGGGAUCCAACUCGUGUCUCCUGCACUGGCAGAUAGAUUCGUUACCACUUGUGCCACCAGGGAAGCUAGUAGGUAUAAAAUAAAUGAUUAAUGAAAACAUUAAUUACAUUAUUAUAUUUUGUU
rnacentral:lncRNA from 1 species